rnacentral:rRNA from 1 species
UACGUAGGGUGCGAGCGUUGUCCGGAUUUAUUGGGCGUAAAGAGCUCGUAGGCGGUUUGUCGCGGCGGCCGUGAAAUCUCCACGCUUAACGUGGAGCGUGCGGUCGAUACGGGCAGACUUGAGUUCGGUAGGGGAGACUGGAAUUCCUGGUGUAGCGGUGAAAUGCGCAGAUAUCUGGAGGAACACCGGUGGCGAAGGCGGCAUCCUGGACCAACACUGACGCUGAGUGAGCGAAAGCCAGGGGAGCAAACGGG